AACGAACGCUGGCGGCAGGCCUAACACAUGCAAGUCGAACGGGAUCUUCGGAUCUAGUGGCGGACGGGUGAGUAACGCGUGGGAACGUGCCCUUUGGUUCGGAAUAGCCCUGGGAAACUGGGAGUAAUACCGGAUGAGCCCUUCGGGGGAAAGAGUUAUCGCCAAAGGAUCGGCCCGCGUUGGAUUAGGUAGUUGGUGGGGUAAUGGCCUACCAAGCCGACGAUCCAUAGCUGGUUUGAGAGGAUGAUCAGCCACACUGGGACUGAGACACGGCCCAGACUCCUACGGGAGGCAGCAGUGGGGAAUCUUAGACAAUGGGGGAAACCCUGAUCUAGCCAUGCCGCGUGAGCGAUGAAGGCCUUAGGGUUGUAAAGCUCUUUCAGUGGGGAAGAUAAUGACGGUACCCACAGAAGAAGCCCCGGCUAACUCCGUGCCAGCCGCCGCCGUAAAAC
rnacentral:rRNA from 1 species